GACUCGAUGGCGGACGGCCCGCACCUGCCUCUCAUAUGGAUGAUAUACUUGAGCAGCAGGAGACACCGGUUCGAUUCCGGUUCGAGUCA